rnacentral:rRNA from 1 species
AACGAACGCUGGCGGCAUGCCUAACACAUGCAAGUCGAACGAUGCUUUCGGGCAUAGUGGCGCACGGGUGCGUAACGCGUGGGAAUCUGCCCUGGGGGUCGGGAUAACAGCGGGAAACUGCUGCUAAUACCGGAUGAUAUCUCGAGAUCAAAGAUUUAUCGUCCUGGGAUGAGCCCGCGUCGGAUUAGGUAGUUGGUGGGGUAAGAGCCUACCAAGCCGACGAUCCGUAGCUGGUUUGAGAGGAUGCUCAGCCACACUGGGACUGAGACACGGCCCAGACUCCUACGGGAGGCAGCAGUGGGGAAUAUUGGAAAAUGGGCGCAAGCCUGAUCCAGCAAUGCCGCGUGAGUGAUGAAGGCCUGAGGGUUGUAAAGCUCUUUUAACCGGGAUGAUAAUGACAGUACCGGGAGAAUAAGCCCCGGCUAACUCCGUG